AGAGACAAAGACACACACAGAGAGAGAAAACGGGAGAGGAAGGAAGCCGCAUCACGGGGGCGGUCACAUCCAAGGUUCCCGCGGCGGAAGUCGCCGGCGACGAGAUGCUCGUGGAUGCCCGUGGCGAGAUGCCUGGCGGCGCCCCUCCAGAGUCCUCGCUCCCCACUGAUGAGUGUCUGAUGGAUGCCCGCAAGCAGACUGAAGACGAGAUCGAAAGUAAAACCGAGGCCUCCUUGAAAGAAGGGUUAGGUCAACAGCUUAAAACUAUCAUAUGAAGAAGAGUAGAGAUUUAACAAGAGAUUGCUUGAACAGUGUGCCACACCCAGGUACAAAUAUUGAAGAUGAAGAAGGGAAGCCUGGGAAUGAUAGGAAUGAAGAAGGGAGACAUCAGUGUGUGGAAGAUACUGAUUUAGAUGAGAGAGGCUAUGAUGUCGAGAUCACCGACACUGAAGCAUCAGACGAUUUGCUGUAUGAAGAAGUUCUGACGGUGCUGACUAAAAGUGCUCAAAGGAAAGAACAUCGGAAAGCUGUUUUGGAAUGAAAAAAGAAGCAGAGAGCAAGGAUUGACCCAAACACAAUCAAAGCCACAAUUGAUGAGAUUGCGACCAAAGCUUACAACCGGUGUAGCAUGCCAUACUUCUCCGAGAUUGUCAGUUUCAUGUGUAAGAGCCACCACAGGGUCCAGCUUGUUAGGAACAGCGGUUUCGGAUAUCUGUUGGAGCUGGUUGACUAUACUGUACCCAGGGGGUUUGUGCAGUGGAUCCCUGACAAUGUUGACACAAAAGCAGAAGCAAUUGUUUUCAACAAGAAGAGCAUUCCAUGAAUGCUCAGUCAGUGGAGUUUGUGUUGGGGAUUCCUUCAAGGGAAACAAUCAUAAACACUAAAGAAGAAGAGGCUGGCAAACAAGCUUUUCUUGCGCUUUUUGGGUUGACAGAAGUCCCAACAAUCAAAUUCUUUGGCAAUAAGCUGAUGAACGAAGAUAUGUCUGACGACCAGAUCAUCCGUUGUUUCCUGGUUGUGGCAUUAUCAACAUUCUUCUGCCCGACAUCAAGCACUAAACCAAGCACCAAAUAUAUGGGAGCUCUAGUUAAUGUGGAGCAACUCAAGCAACUAAAUUGGUGCAUGUUUGUUCACGAUUGGGAGUUGAUGUAUAUAAAGAAAUACCAAAAGGAAAAGCUGAAGCAGAACCGAACAAUGAUGACUCUAGGAGGAUGUAUAUACCACCUAGCAGUCUGUUGCCUUGAUUUUACUGAUUUUCGCUCAAUUCAAAUCCCAUCUUUGAUGCCCAGGAUAUGUGUUUGGAAGGGAGAUAUGGUCAAGCAUUUAAGUGACAUGACCAUUGGAAGAGAUGGAAAGUAUGGAUGUCUGACAAUAAAAGAAGUAUCAGAAACCUGCUAUAAGGAUGGAACUUUUGAGUGGGCAAGUACGAUUAAGAAUUCAAAUUUCAGGAAAGCGAUAAACAAUGUUGCAGGGAAUUCUUUGUCUGACAAGGUCAAAGAGGAUAUCUUCCUCGCUUACGAAAACCAUAUGAAGAAUGAAGACCUAAAUACUUGCAUCAAAGCUAAAGGGCUUCUUCUAGACACGAUCCGCAUCAUAACCAAUGCCUCUGGUGAAUCAGGUGAUACAGUUAAAGUGGGCUCAACAGGAACUGAAUUGAAUGCAAGCCAACAAUCUAACAACUCAGGAGACACUGUCAAACUACAAUCGACUGAACUUCAAGAGGAAAAUGACAGAGGGCAUCUGGUGCAAAGGAAAAGAAGGAAAACGAAUGUUCUAUCAACUAGCCAACAGUCUGCUGGUUCUUCUGUAUCAAAAACAAAUGCUGGAAAAGGGAGCACAAAUGAAGCUGAUGGGUUUUGUAGCAGCCCUCCUAAAGUCCAUGAAAUAGGCAAGCUGAAGUCUGACUCUGAAGCACAAUGUCAAAGAGAGCAUUCCUCAAAGGACCCCAUGACGGAAAUGUGUGCUCCAGCGACAUCAACUUUCGCUCCAGGAAACCAUGUAGAUGGAGGAGGAGGAUAGAUGCCCAAUCAAGCAGCGAACCACAUGAUCCCUGUUCAAUCAAGCACAAGAAGCCUUUGGAAGCUCUUUUGAAGGGUGACAAAAAAUCCCCUCAAAACAGAGUGAAGAAAAGGAUGAAGCCCACACUCUAGAUAAUCAACAAGAGAAAAGCAGCAGCCUCAACUACAUGCUUAUUGGAGAAGCAAAAGAGUAACAUGUUCAAAAUGUAGUAGAGAGUGCCAAGGAGGACAUCCCAACAGAGCUCAUUCAGUCCAAAAUAGUUUUCACGGAAUCAAAGCAAACAACAUUUUCUGGUUUUCAAAACACAUCAAUUCAGGAAUUGGACCCACAGAGGAAAACUUUUAGGGGGCGCCCGGAUAACCUGAGCAUAGACAUUAAUGUAAAAGCGCAACCAGAGAGUGGGACACAUACAGAUGAGGUUUUUGCAAGAGGCCAUAAAAUCAUUAGCGACUUUCUAGACAAGGCAAGAUAAAAAUACUUCUUCGCCAAUGAUAGCACCCCCUCAUUCAGGAUCGCUGAAGAUGUGGAUGAAUGUGGAAAUAUAAUCAAAGAACAUGAAUUGUGGAGGCCUGUAUGGAUGAAGGAUGAGUGUUACAAUAAAAAGAUAGAGGCAACGAAGUUGAAGAUCGCCAGAAACUUCAAGGAAGUAGAGCCAGAAGAACUUGACAUUUGUGUGCAAGGGAAUACAAACUUGAAGAAAUAGGGGAGCGGUAGUUCAAACUACGAGCUAAGCAUUCAGUGCGCCCAAAGGGAAGUACAGAGAAGUUUGAUGUGUGAGACGCCACACCCCCCAAAACCAGUUGAGGAGAUUGUUGAUUUGACAACACCUGAAGUUCAAAUGUCAACUGGGUGGAAUCACAGGCAAACUUGCUACUCACCAUGCAAAAAUAAUAACGAGUACACAGCCGAGACUCCCCCACUCAAAAUGAAGAAGGACUACUCCAUGGUUCCAAUAAUAGGAAAAAGGUUAUUUCCAGAGGAGGAAAGCUGUCAACAAGAAUCCAGCGGCAGCAAAAGGAAUCCAGUACAACUAAUGGAAGAAAAAACUAUAAACAGCCGUUUUUUUAAUUUUUUAAGUGCUCUCUGUUUGUUAAUCGUUCUUUUCUUUUUUCUGAAUUUCUUUUUUUGUGCCAUAUGUAUAGUCAGGAUAACUCAAAAUUCAUGGAGGAAACAUGUUUAGGCAAGAGCGCAGCACAUUGGUCAACAGAACUGAUGAUUUUUACAACACAAAUCUCUCGUUAGGAAGGCCAAGCAGUUUCCGUGGAAAAGAAAAUGUACCACCAAAGAGGAUUGUCCAACCAAGCAGGUACCGUAGCUCACUAUACGGCUGCAGUGAGAGGGGCCAAAUAAUGCCACAUGAGAGAAAGAUGUAUGAGAACAUAACAUCCUUGGCCAAUGUUGAAGGAUCCAAACCUGCAGUUUUGAUUGACAAAACCAUCGCCACAUUUGGACAGUUGGGUAACUCGAAGAAAAUAGGUGGCCGGGUCCAGGCCUAUGUCAUAAAUGUGUACUGCAGGCACCUAUUUAAUGAAAAUCAUCCUAGGAACUCACUCAAGCACUAUUUCUUCCACACUGCAUCUGAAUAUUUCCUGGGCAAAUGGAAAAAUGAUGAGGCAAGAAUUUGGUGGAGGAAGAAACUGAUUAGAAGUUUCAUUGGAGCUGGAAAAGCACAUAAUCUUUUGAUGUCAGACAAGUUGUACUUUCCAACACUACACGAGGAAUAUUACUUUCUGUUCGUCGUCGACAUCAAGGGUCGCACAUUUUAUUUUUUGGAUUCUUUCUAUGAUGAGAAUAGCUCAUAUCAUAUGAACAUAAAAAAGAAGAUUAUCUCAAGCUUUAUAUGCACUUGGUACGAAGCUCGGCUCCAGCCAAUGGAUUUCAGUGCAUUCCCUACUGUUUACCCUAAAGUCCCUCAACAAGAUAACGAUAUUGAUUGUGGCAUUUUCACUAUGAAACUAAUGGGAUGGUGCCCAAGGAAUCCAACCCCUAUAGUUUUUUCACCAAAAAAUGUCCCAGAUGCAAGGAUCCGAUAUGCUGUUGAUCUCAUGUUCAGCCACUACAACACUUUGGAUGACGAGAAGAAGCGUGUCAAGGAGUUCCGCCUAUAGACAUGAAAAAGUGCUGACAGCUCCUAAAAGACACCACUCACAAUGACAAGAGGAGCUAUAUCAAGAGUCAUAUUAGCAAAAUCAAAGGAAAGAUGAGAUGUAUCAAACACAUAGUUAGCAAUUGUUAAACAUUUUCGAGAUGUUUUUCUAUUUUUUGUAUGAACAGAGAAUGUACACCUUUCUUGUUGCUGUACGCAUAUAUAUGCCCCCUCUGUUAUUUUUGUUUGGUUGGGAAACAUGUGCUCCCGAAGGUACUUCUACCCUAGUUUGGUCUUUUUCACUCGGUAAUGUGGUGAAACACAAGAACUAUAACAGUGUUUUGCUCAUGUGUUUAUGUUUGCACAUUUUCCAAAAUUUUGCUUAAAUGAAUUUUCAUGUUUCCCGUGUGGGCAUCAAUACUUUUUUUUGUGUUUUCCAUCUGAUGGAGAGGGCCAAGGAGAUGACGACACAAAGGCACCAAAAACUUAUGAACUUAAGGAGGAGAAACAAUGCCCAUUUUGGAUUUUUCUCAUAAUGCAAGGAAACACUCAUAAAGAUCAAGACCAACAGCAACAAGAGAAACUUUGAACAACAUGUGAGACAAAGAUGGAGUUUUCCUCCCAUGAAGUUAUCUCAGAG
rnacentral:rRNA from 1 species